rnacentral:tmRNA from 1 species
GGGGAUGUUUGGUUUCGACAGGGUGGUAGGUUAGAACGGUGCGUGCCGAGGUGCCCGAGGCCUCGUUAAAACGGGCAAAACAAUAGUUGGCACAACCCAACACUCUCUCGCUGCCUAAGUCACUGACCUCUAGGUAGCGCGUCCGUCCGGACCUCUCUUCACCGGGACCGGAACCGGGCGUCAUUUAGGUGAGGUGCGGUAGCCUAGUUCGCCAGAGCGCGGUCACCAAAGGCAGUCUGGCUUACCGACGCGAUACCUUGCCGGUGAGGGGUCGCGGCGGCAGAUAAAGCACCGGAUACGCACGUAGCAUCCGCUCGGCUGAACGUUCUGGACGGGGGUUCGACUCCCCCCAUCUCCACCU